CCUAAUGCAUGCAAGUCGAGCGAACAGAUAAGGAGCUUGCUCCUUUGACGUUAGCGGCGGACGGGUGAGUAACACGUGGGUAACCUACCUAUAAGACUGGAAUAACUCCGGGAAACCGGGGCUAAUGCCGGAUAACAUUUAGAACCGCAUGGUUCUAAAGUGAAAGAUGGUUUUGCUAUCACUUAUAGAUGGACCCGCGCCGUAUUAGCUAGUUGGUAAGGUAAUGGCUUACCAAGGCAACGAUACGUAGCCGACCUGAGAGGGUGAUCGGCCACACUGGAACUGAGACACGGUCCAGACUCCUACGGGAGGCAGCAGUAGGGAAUCUUCCGCAAUGGGCGAAAGCCUGACGGAGCAACGCCGCGUGAGUGAUGAAGGGUUUCGGCUCGUAAAACUCUGUUAUUAGGGAAGAACAAACGUGUAAGUAACUGUGCACGUCUUGACGGUACCUAAUCGGAGAAGCCACGGCUAACUACGUGCCAGCAGCCGCGGUAAUACGUAGUGGCAAGCGUUAUCCGGAAUUAUUGGGCGUAAAGCGCGCGUAAGCGGUUUCUUAAGUCUGAUGUGAAAGCCCACGGCUCAACCGUGGAGGGUCAUUGGAAACUGGGAGACUUGAGUGCAGAAGAGGAAAGUGGAAUUCCAUGUGUAGCGGUGAAAUGCGCAGAGAUAUGGAGAGGAACACCAGUGGCGAAGGCGACUUUCUGGUCUGUAACUGACGCUGAUGUGCGAAAGCGUGGGGAUCAAACAGGAUUAGAUACCCUGGUAGUCCACGCCGUAAACGAUGAGUGCUAAGUGUUAGGGGGUUUCCGCCCCUUAGUGCUGCAGCUAACGCAUUAAGCACUCCGCCUG
rnacentral:rRNA from 1 species